rnacentral:rRNA from 1 species
GACGAGCCACACAAACGUUAUUCGGAAUUACUGGGCUUAAAGGGUGCGUAGGCGGCGCGGAAAGUUGGGUGUGAAAUCCCUCGGCUCAACCGAGGAAUGGCGCUCAAAACUACCGUGCUCGAGGGAGAUAGAGGAGUGCGGAACUUACGGUGGAGCGGUGAAAUGCGUUGAUAUCGUAGGGAACACCGGUGGCGAAAGCGGCGCUCUGGAUCUCUUCUGACGAUGAUGCACGAAAGAUAGGGUAGCGAACGGG